rnacentral:rRNA from 1 species
GUGGGGAAUUUUGGACAAUGGGCGCAAGCCUGAUCCAGCAAUGCCGCGUGCAGGAAGAAGGCCUUCGGGUUGUAAACUGCUUUUGUACGGAACGAAACGGUCCUGGUUAAUACCUGGGGCUAAUGACGGUACCGUAAGAAUAAGCACCGGCUAACUACGUGCCAGCAGCCGCGGUAAUACGUAGGGUGCAAGCGUUAAUCGGAAUUACUGGGCGUAAAGCGUGCGCAGGCGGUUUUGUAAGACAGACGUGAAAUCCCCGGGCUCAACCUGGGAAUGGCGUUUGUGACUGCAAAGCUGGAGUGCGGCAGAGGGGGAUGGAAUUCCGCGUGUAGCAGUGAAAUGCGUAGAUAUGCGGAGGAACACCGAUGGCGAAGGCAAUCCCCUGGGCCUGCACUGACGCUCAUGCACGAAAGCGUGGGGAGCAAACAGGAUUAGAUACCCCAGUAGUCC